rnacentral:rRNA from 1 species
CUGCGGAAGGAUCAUUAAUGAAUUGAAAGGGAGUUGAUGCUGGC